rnacentral:lncRNA from 1 species
CCUACUUACAUACAUUGCUACAAUUGAUAAAAAGAGGGUUUAAUUUGAGUGCUAGUUAAUUUUCACAUCAUUUGACCUUUCCUAAUUCUUUUUCACCUAAGUUCCAGCUGCAAAAGGAGUGUUCUAAACAUUUUAGGACACUUAACUAAUCUUCUAGAAGACCUAAUUCCAGCCAUAAGAGGGAUGCCACAUCUUCAUUUUCCCUUUCCCUUUUUCCUUGCCGCAAGUCCCUUACCCCUUUUCUCCUUGUCUUUGCCGUACAUCCCCUUUCCUAUUCUUCCAAAAUCGGACACAUAUAUUCCUUUCCCUUUCUACCUAGGAUCCUGCCACACCUUUUGUUUCCUUUUCCCUUUAAUUUCUGAUUUUACUUAGCUUUUCCUUGUGAACUUAGAAGUUAAAAUCCUUUUACAAUAAUUAAAACUUACCUUUCCUUUUCUCCUUUAUUCCUGUAGCACCUUAGCUUUAAUUCCUUAGGGUUUUUACAUACUUUACUCUAUAUAUAAGUCUAUGUCGCACCAUUUAGAGGGGGCUGACCAUCAAUCAUUAACAUAGUCCAUCAUCCACCCAUCUACCCUUCACCAAAACUCACCUAUAUCCAUUCCUCCUUAUAAACAACCUUUCAAACCAUCACCAACACCUUGUGCUGCAGCAAAGGAAGGGAAGGAAAGUGUCUGGACAUGCUUGCUGUUCAAUUUGGAUAAUUGGAACGUUUAGGUGUUUUCUUUCUUUUGUUUCCAAUGUAUAAAUCUGUUUAUCUUUGUUUUGCGAUUAUGAGGACUUAAGCCCUUUUUGGCUAGGGGACUAUUCAAAACCAUGAUUAUACUUGCAUUAUGAAUUGAUUACCUUCAGUUGUUAUUUCAUAAGUUGUGAAUUAAAUUUGCUUAACCAUUUGAUUGAUAACUUAUUCUUGUAUGUUUAUUAAGAGUACACGCUUAAUUUUCAUGCAAGGAUUUGAAGCUAAAAUAUAAGGGAGUUUCACCUAAUAGUUACAAACUUAUAUUUACAAGUAGUGAAGGUCGCUUAUAAACGAUCGCGUUAAGUGAAUUCUUGGAAGAGUAUCAUCCUAAUCAUAGUUACAAAUGCCUCAUGAUAGGAGCAUAUUUAUGCGACUUAGUUGGCUUGUUCUUAAGUAUUUAUGUUGUUUUUCUUUAGUUAUUUUAGUUUUUAAAGUCAUUUUCGUGCAAUUUCAGGUUUAGAGACGAAGUAUGCAAAGAAGU